UACGGGGGGAGCAAGCGUUGUUCGGAUUUACUGGGCGUAAAGGGCGCGUAGGCGGUGCGGUAAGUCACCUGUGAAACCUCUGGGCUCAACUCAGAGCCUGCAGGCGAAACUGCCGUGCUGGAGUGUGGGAGAGGUGCGUGGAAUUCCCGGUGUAGCGGUGAAAUGCGUAGAUAUCGUAAGGAAGACCAGUGGCGAAGGCGGGUCUCUGGACAGUUCCUGACGCUGAGGCACGAAGGCCAGGGGAGCAAACGGG
rnacentral:rRNA from 1 species